CACUGCUCUGUUUUUCUGUCAAAUCCAUGUGAUUGACCUCUCCAGCCCCCUUCAGAUGGGACUCUUCAUGCACCUCCGUGGAGAUAUCCAGCAGACGUGGGUCAGGAGCUUUGUUAUAUUUCUGCUUUUUGUCCUUUUGUUGCAUGCCCUUGCUUGUGUUUAUUCCUGCAGGCUGGACUCUUUCAGGCAUUUGUAUUAUGCCUCUAAGCUCAUUUCUCUGCUAUAGUGAAAGGCAGCUCCCUUAAGACUUUGGCAAGCAUUGCACAAGAAAACAAAGGCCUGUUCAACUUGCUGCUGGGAGACAAUAUUUACUCUCUGACUGACAUGUGUGCACUUCCCUCAUGAAACUUCAGCUGUGUUGCAGUACUGGUGUACUGGAAGAUGGAAUUCUCCUUGAAAAUAAUCUAAAUCAUGUUGUAUAAAAGUAGGGCUUAGAGAAACAGGGCAGAAACAGAGCUAUUUCUUAGUUGAGGGCUUUCAUCUUAAUAUAAAACACAUUAGAGCAAACAGGUAAGAGGUAAAGGAUUCUUACACGCUUUGGUGUCACAGCUUAUGCCACCUGAGAACAUCUCUUCACACUUCUGCCAUAGCUUGUUAGGAUGGGACAUUCUCCUGUCACUCCUGGUGUUAUUUUGUUAGAUUCCUACCCCAGAUGACCCAACUUGAGUUGCUUACAGCAGAAAUACCCUUUUGGUCAAGAAAGAUAAUGUUAAAAGGCAAUCACACAUUUGCCCCACUUUUAGUUUCUCAGCAGAAUUAUUGUGGUACCUGCUGUUGUUCUUUCUUAGAAGAAAUCCCUACUCCAGCAGAGGGAAAAAGAAGACUUUGAAUGUAGCUCACCCAGCAUGCGAUUUAGUCAUCGCAGAAUCAUUUGAGUUGGAAGGGUCAUUUAAAGAUCAUCUAUCCAGCUCUUCUGCAAUGUACAGGGACAUCUACAGCUCGAUCAGACAGUUCACGUGAGUGAAUAAGCAAAUAGACUGCAUUUCAAUAUUUUCCUUAGAUUACUUUUUUUCCCUCUCAGUAACUCUUGGCUCAGGAGAUACAUCCCUGGUGUUUUAUUUGAUUCCUUCUCACCAUAUUUGCAGCAUGGCAGACUCUCCGCAAGGUCUUUCCACAAAGGCUCGUUUUGCUAUUAGCCCAGUGAACGUAGGUUUUCCACUUUGAUCUGUACUGUGUGUGGUUUUGGCAUGAUUCUUAAAUGGACUGAUUAAACAACUGCUGCUAACAGCUUCCCCUGCCUUCAGCAGUCAGCUCCCAUUAUUCAGGGGCUUUCCAUAGCAAAAGGGAAGAGACAGCACUGGUACAAAGUGCUUACAUUAAAGGUCAGAAGAAAUGUCAGAAAACUCUUUCCCUUCCCUCUUGGUCCGGAAACAUUGCAGUAACUCAGUCACUAGAUAGGCAAUGUUGGAUUGUUCAUAGUGUGAGUGUUUUGAGCAAAAGGGAUGGAUGCCUGUAUGCUGAUGCUUAGCCAGAUUGUCUAGAUGAGAAAUCACUGAGCUGAGACUGGCUUGGUAAUUUACAUCUAGUUCUGUGUUUUAUAUAUCAAAGUCUGUGUUUUGCAGUUUACACUCUGAAUCUUUAAAUGAAGAAAUAAAUUAAAUUUCUCAGAUGAGUGAGAAUGGUGCAUUUAGAGGGAGAGGGAGAACACGCUGAGACUUGGGAGCUGCUCAGGGAGGAGACCCAAUAUUCAAGCUCCCCUUUUCUGGCGUGAAGCAUCUUGCUUUUCUUUCUGAAGUGUUCCAGGUCCCCAGGAAAUAUGGAAACUGCUCCCUUCCUGAGCCUCCUUCAGCCUACUGAAGAUGGAUUGGGCAUUUGGUCAAACCCAUCAGGUAGUGGUGGCAGCCACGAUGAUGUGCCAUCAUGCCAAGGCUGCUUAGUUCAACGUGGGGCAGUCUCAUGAGGCUGAGACUGUAAGUAUGUCACGGCCAUGACAUGGUCAGUGUUGUCUUUGAUCUUCCCUUUGUGCCUUUCCAGUUGAGACAGGAACAUUGCUUUCUGUGAGGCUCUGGUGAGCCCCUUUAGGUAGGAUGUUAGCAAAUGUCCUCUCUUGUUGUCAAGACAGAAUUUAAACUGGUACAGAUGAGAAAACAAGGCUGAUAUGUCAGUGAGGGGAAUAGAAAUGCUGUCCUAGAAGAGGAGACUAAAAGCUUGGCUUUGUUUGCCUAGCAAGUGGAAGCUGGGAAGUGAUACCAUUGCUCAGUAUAAAUCCUUCAGGCUGGGGGUAAAGAGCAGGAGAAGAGCUGCUCAAGCCAAAGGACAAAGUUGGCACGCAAGCAAAUGACACGCACUGAAUGGGAGUAAAUUUAAACAGGAAAUUAGGAGUGAGGUGGAGGUGCUGAAGGACCUCCUGUCCCCUGCGUGCGGUGCCAGGAACAUCGAGCCACGUACUUGCAGCAUGACGUGUGGCAGGGCUGCAGCACCAUGUCAGAAAUCCUCUGCUCACAGAGAAAGCUGCAUUGAGUACUGACCUUGAGAGAAACUGUUGUUUGCCACGUGGCCAGAGCAGAGUUUCACACUUGACCUCUUUUGAAUUUCCUUCUUAAUUGUGUUUGAUUUGUAGGAAGCAACGAGUACGGAAGGGACAAAUAAAUUGAAAAGUUCCAGCUCUACUUCUUAACACUGGGACACGUAAUAGCUCGAUUUGCUAUCAGUUUGCUGGGCUAGUCCUCUACAAGCAAGAGGAAUUUGCCCCCCGGCAAUUUUUCUUCACUAGAACCCUGCAAAAGGAAGUGAGGUUUAAUUAGCAUUUUAAAGUGGACAGCCUUGAAGUUAAUGAUAUUCAAUAAAGAAAAAUUGUUUUAACCUUAUUUGCACUUUUCAAUUUACUUAUUAGAGGCCAUCUGUUAUAUUUUAAGCAAGAGCACUGGGAGCUAAACUCUCAGAUAGUCAAACGAGGCUAAGCAGAAGGGAAAGAACAGGCUGCCUUAAAUGAGCAAUUAGACUGCUUUUCUUAAAUUUCUCAUUUUUGUGUCAAAAAGCAAACGGUCACCAUUUCAAGCAGCAGUAAAGUUGCUCUAAUGACACCCAUUUUUACAGGUGCUCAUCAGCCCUGGGAAAUGUCACUUGUCCUCAGCUCUCAGAUGAGGCCCAGGAAGGAUGAAAUUAGAAAAGUCAGAAGUGAGGUGGAACUGCUGUGGGAGUGAAGGCUAAGAAUAAGGAUUGCUAUAGGUAAGUCAUCAGAAGAAGGAAAACUGAGGUGUAUGUUGGUGUGCUGCUGAAUGAGUUGGCCAACCCAGUAAAAAAAGAGCAUGGGAAAGCUGCGGUGCUCUUUGCUUUUGUCUUCAUUGGCAAGGUCUGCUCUCAAGCCUCUUUCUGUCCAACUGAUGUGUGGGGAAAACGGGUACUAUCCAUAGUAGAAGAUGAGUUUAGGGGCUAGUGAAGAAAAAUGGGCACACACAGGCAUGUGGGGCCAGGUGGAGAUGUGUGUGUGUGUGGAAGAGGGAGGAAUGAGGAAGCUGGCUGAUAUCAUUGUGAGGCUGCUCUGUCAUCUCUGAAUGGCUGUGAUGACAGCAGAAGGUCCCUUUUGACUGGAAAGUGGCAAAUGUUACCCUCGACCUCAAAUGAAAAGGAGAUCCAAGGGAACUGCGGACUGUUCAGCUCCACCUUUGUCUCCAGGAAAGUUACAGAGCAAAUCUUCCAGGGAGCCAUUCCCAAGGACAUUAAGGAAGCACUGAAUAUAGGGACCAGAUCUCCAUUGACUAUCACGGCAAUUUGAGUCCUAAAUGUUCUGGCUUAAGGUUGAGCUGACUUCUACUGUACCUCCAAGAAAGCGGAUGAUUUUGCCAUGUUCCUGGGAGGAACAAAAGCCUUUGGUAGGACAAAAACCAAACUUUGCUCUGUUUGGUCUCAUGGGCCCAACUUAAAUUCUGAGCGUACAUAAUCCCUCCUGGAAGGAUGGGAAAUAGAAGCAAAAUGUCUUCUCCAAGUCUACGCAAAAACUUAUGGGAGCCAGCAGAGCUGGUGCUGACAAUGAACAUUCGUGUAUGGAUGUGAGAAAUCCUGCUGGAUUAUUAGAUGUCCUGCCAUUCAGCUGAGCAGAGGCUCUGGAUCCUGGUCUGUAUGGGAUUUGUUAGCAGUGGCUGUAUGAUAACCAUGCUGAAGUGGAAUGGAAUAAUCCCUUCCGCAAACGAACACCAAAUGGGAUUGAUGCCGUGGGUUGAUAACCUGUUGCACAGGAGUAGCACCUUAAAUUGCACGGGUGGAAAUCCUAUGUGUCAGAGGACAUUUGAAGGCUGAUUCCACAAAUGUUUGCAAAUGUAGAUCUUAGCUUCACUCCCGUGGUUUCUCACAGUGAAGUUAGACUGAAGUUAAACUUCAGUCUGUGAGAUCUUGUGGGUCCCAAAUUUGCAAGGAGCUGAACCCACCAGCUCCUGUUAGCUUAUCACCUGUGUUUCUGUCCUGAGAGAGUUACAGCAAGAGAAGGGAGGAGAAAUGUGAAAUAGAGCACACUGAUUCACAACAGCACUUGAUCAUUACAGCAAAACCCAACCAAACCAAACCAACUAUGAAGUACCUGUAGCACUGAAAUCCAGCUGCCAAUGAUUUUGCUGUACAGAACAGUCUUUGGUACCCUUAGUUUGCUGUCAGUGCUAAAGCCAAAUGUGUACAUAAUGGAAUAGCUUUUUAAAAACCUGGCUUUUUUUGUCUUUCCAAGCCUAAAAAUGCUAUCCUGUGUCCAGAGGGAAAAAAAAAAAAACACAACUUGAGGUGACUUUUGUUUUAAGGCUGUUUUAAAUUUAUAACAGAGCUGGCUAAAAUGCUUUUCAUCAAAGUACAAAAGUUUCAUGCUGUAAUUAAUGGCAAGUGAUAUCUAACGCAAUAAAACACCAUCAUUUCAGUGUUCUUACAAGACUAUUUAUGACUGGAUAUUGAAACUGAUAAUGAUUCUGCCAUUUGUCCUCAUAAUUUAUUAUUCCAAGGAGAGGCAAGUGGUGGUAAGGGUUCACGAUCCGUUUUAUGGAAAGAGUGCUGAAUUCAGCUUUUCAUGGAUGUAAAUGACAAUGUUUGGUGCUGGGCAGAAAGUGUGUGUGUGACAGCGGGAGCAGACCCUGUUGAGGGGUCGAGGUGGGGAGCAUUAAUGGUCUUUCUGGGCGAGGGAAGCCCUUGGCCGUGUGAUCCAAUUGCAGCCAGCUACUGGGACCAGUGCAAAGAGUGGGUUGUUUCCACAACAGGGUGCUUUCCAAGACUAGGGCAGAAUUUUUCUGGAAACCUCCCACCUGAUUUCUGAGCAAGAUGAUCUCCUGAACUAUCGCUUUGGGCAGCCAAAACUGAAUUCAUGAUAAACAUCGCUACCCAAAGCUCGUUGAACAGAAUGAAAAGAGUUACUGGCUCUGGCAAGCCUUGUAUCAGGCUGAAACAAAAGCUCUGUUCCAGAGGAAACUUCCCUUGGCCUUGCCAAGUGCCAGCCUGCAUCCCUCUGGGCACAGCCCAUUUCUUUUCGUAGAAUCAUGGAAUCCCAGAAUCAUUAAGGUUGGAAAAGACCACUAAGAUCAUCUAGUCCAACCAUCCACCUACCAACAAUAUUGCCCACUAAAUCAUGUUCCUCAGUGCCACAUCUCCACGGUUCUGGAACACCUCCAGUGACAGUGACUCCACCACCUCCCUGGGCAGCUGUGCCACUGCGUUCCUGCCCCUUCUGAGAAGAAAUGUUUCCUAAUAUUCAACCUGAACCUCCCCUGGCACAACUUGAGGCCAUUGCCUCUCAUCCUAUCACUGGCUGAGGCUGAUUUACUGAAUGCUUGGGCUCUGAUUCACACCUUAUUCAGGCUCAUAGAAACCUGGAGGAAUUUCUGUAGAGUCAGUAUUGACACAAUUAAUGGAAAAUCUGAGUGAAGUCAGACCCCGGGGGUUAUUUUUUUGGGCCUAGAUGGUGCUUCAUCCUCCUGGACUCCGGGACAGGGUGGUUCAUGUUCCCUAGACUACAACCCUCUGGUUGUUCCCAGGCUGCUGCUCAUUUGCUGCAGAAUAAGGUACUGUAGGUAAAGAUUUGCAUUUCCAUUGAUAGCCCUAGCUGCAUUCUCACGAGUUUCUUGCUGCUUUGCAAAUAGCUUGGAGUGAGCCUGCUGCCACAGAAGCAGAGCAGAAUGUGACCCAUUUUCUUUGCUUUUCAAGUGCUAUGGUCCCCUUCUUCAAGCCUCCAACAUCCCCCCCAUUUAUUGUAAUCAGCACGUCAAAAGGGAAGUCAUUCCUUUAUUGGAGGUUAUCUGUGUCAGGGGAAGUUAUGUUCCCAUCGCUACCUGGGGGCCCAUCAGCAGAUAAAGAUGGAGAGCAGUGACUCAGAAUGACUUUGAAGCAACACCCAGCAGCAACUGAAGACAAGAACAUAACCUUAGCUGACGUUUAAUAUAACCCGAUACACAAAUAAAGCCAUUCCACUAAAUUAUGCAUCCUUUUACUCUUGGCUGUUGUUAAAGGAAGGCGACAGGGUGAGUGUUCUCGACGUGUGUUUCUUCCUUUGCAGUGUCGGGAGCUGAGUGACAGAUGCACACUGAUGGAGCACAGUGCAUUGAUUUUUGCUGCUGCAGUACUUUAUGCUCAAAGAAAUACAGCUUUUAAAGCGAUGGAGGACCCCUAUUCAGAGAAAACAGGAGGCUCCUCAGCAAUGCUGCUUUUCCAAUGGCAGCCACUCUAAGAAAUUCCUGUUUCCACCUUCCUCAAGCCAUGGCUUUCUGCACCUGGAUGUCAGCUCCGUUCUUUGAGCUGGGCACUCCUGAACCUGUUGUACUUCAGAAGGAGGACAGAAGAGGAAAUGGUUCAUUUUGAAGAUGUGCCAUGAUAGGCAAUUCGAGCUUGCUUAUCUUUUCACACAUGCCAGCUUGGAUAACCUGGGUGGAAAGCUGAAGUGAAGCAAAGACCUCAGCCUCUCACAGCUCUGGCAGCAGUCACCAGUGCCCUGCUGGAGCUGAGCUCUUGGGGAACACCUUGACCCCAGACUAAGGACUGGAGGUGACUGCUACACUGCUGUUUUAGGGAUCUUGAGAACUGUAAGUGCUCUAUUUCCUAGAGCAAACAAAAAAUGCUGCUCCUGUCUGCCCUUCAGAGGCACCCAGGAGGCAUCCAAGUCAGCCCCUAGUUUUGGGAAUGAGUUUGCCCUGUUCCCUGGGAUAUGAUGGUCUGCCACUCAGGAGGAGUUCACGGAGCACGCCAUAUUCCUGACUGCCCAGUAGUAUUCUAUCAGCUCAAUAUAGGCCUGAUGUCGUAUUAAGGAGAAAAGCUUUCCGGCCAGCAGUAGUGAUGCGUGAAGUUUCCUCAUUGACGGACCACAGAAUGCUUUGGGGCUGUUGGAAGAUGGGUUUUGUAUGCAGCACAUUUUGCAUCUCGGUGUUGUUCUCCAGAGCUGUUUGCUAGCAAAUUGCCAGGAUUUGAAAUUCAGGUAGGUUGCAGGAUGAAAAAAUAUCCUUCCCCACAUUGCUAUGACCUUUUUGGUGGUUUAUUUGUUAAAGGCAUUACUGUUCCCCUCGGGAAUGGUGCCUUCCUCUGUUUUAUGCUCUAAGGAUGUGGCUCUUUUCAUGUUUAUCUUUGAUUCAAGCAUUGUAAAGAGCAAUCCCUCGCACUUAUGUGCUUCAUUGUAUUCUGGCCAUGAGAGAUUCUCCC
ensembl:lncRNA